CACUGAAUUCCCUACUCUACCAACACCAAACCAAGGGAAACCAAUUCUGGGUCAAAGGACGUGCACUUCCGGUUCCAGAAGCUGCUUUUCAAAAUAGAGGUUCCUCAGAAAGUGAUGUGUUUUGGAUCCUGAUUCCUCAGACCCUGAUCAUUACCCUCAUCAGAGAACCUCCAUGUGGCCUCCAUCAGCUUGGGACCACCAGACACCUGACCAGUUUUUUCCCUAAGGCCGUCUCUCUCUGCCACAACCCAUCCUAGACAGCUUCCCUGUCGGUCUCCGUGGCGCGGCUGAUGGAGGCGUAGGAAACACCACCUUCAGGAUCAGCCUACACGAAGCGGCUGAGGUUGAGGAAUCGUGAUGUGCGUCAAAUCUAUGUUUGUAGUUACACUGUGUCAGACAGGAAUGAAUCAGUCUCUGUGGUCGUUUUGGAGGCUUCAGUUUGUGGUGCUGUUGUUUUGUGCUGCUCGUAUUU